rnacentral:rRNA from 1 species
AACGAACGCUGGCGGCAGGCCUAACACAUGCGAGUCGAGCGAGGACUUCGGUUCUAGCGGCGGACGGGUGAGUAACGCGUGGGAAUGUGCCCUUCUCUACGGAAUAGCCCUGGGAAACUGGGAGUAAUACCGUAUACGCCCUAUUGGGGAAAGAUUUAUCGGAGAAGGAUCAGCCCGCGUUGGAUUAGGUAGUUGGUGGGGUAAUGGCCUACCAAGCCGACGAUCCAUAGCUGGUUUGAGAGGAUGAUCAGCCACACUGGGACUGAGACACGGCCCAGACUCCUACGGGAGGCAGCAGUGGGGAAUCUUAGACAAUGGGGGCAACCCUGAUCUAGCCAUGCCGCGUGAGUGAUGAAGGCCUUAGGGUUGUAAAGCUCUUUCAGCUGGGAAGAUAAUGACGGUACCAGCAGAAGAAGCCCCGGCUAACUCCGUG